rnacentral:rRNA from 1 species
CAAUAGCGUAUAUUAAAGUUGCUGCAGUUAAAAAGCUCGUAGUUGGAUUUGUGGCGCGGCCGUCCGGCGGGGCUCUUUCAUUAGGGCCGUUUGUCCGGUUUUUCGGCCGCUCCAUUCUCGGGUAGCGUGUCGCUGGCAUUAGGUUGUCGGCUUCUUCGCGCCCGUCGUUUACUGUGAAAAAAUUAAGAGUGUUCAAAGCAGGCUUAGGCCGUUGGAUACAUUAGCAUGGAAUAAUGAGAUAGGGCCACGACGGUCUAUUUUGUUGGUUUGCACGUUGUGGUAAUGAUUAACAGGAACGGUUGGGGGUAUUCGUAUUCAAUGUCAGAGGUGAAAUUCUUGGAUUUAUGGAAGACGAACUACUGCGAAAGCAUUUUACCAAAGGAUGUUUUUCAUUAAUCAAGAACGAAAGUUA